rnacentral:rRNA from 1 species
AGGACGAACGCUGGCGGCGUGCUUAACACAUGCAAGUCGAGCGGAAAGGCCCUUCGGGGUACUCGAGCGGCGAACGGGUGAGUAACACGUGAGCAACCUGCCCCUGGCUCUGGGAUAGCCUCCGGAAACGGGGAUUAAUACCGGACAUGACUCCUGACCGCAUGGUUGGGGGUGGAAAGUUUUUCGGCCAGGGUGGGGCUCGCGGCCUAUCAGCUUGUUGGGGGGGUGACGGCCCACCAAGGCGACGACGGGUAGCCGGCCUGAGAGGGCGACCGGCCACACUGGGACUGAGACACGGCCCAGACUCCUACGGGAGGCAGCAGUGGGGAAUAUUGCGCAAUGGGCGAAAGCCUGACGCAGCGACGCCGCGUGGGGGAUGAAGGCCUUCGGGUUGUAAACCCCUUUCAGCAGGGACGAAGCGAAAGUGACGGUACCUGCAGAAGAAGCGCCGGCUAACUACGCGCCAGCAGCCGC